GGGCAUAGCUCAGUUGGUUAGAGCGCCAGAUUUAGAUCUGGAGGUCGCGGCUUCGAGCCCCGCUCUAUCCA
rnacentral:tRNA from 1 species